rnacentral:lncRNA from 1 species
AUUCGAGAUCCAUUUUGAAUCCAAUUCUCUUCCAAUUUGAGUCCUUUUACUUGUGAAUCGGGCUCUUUGCAUUGGUGAUCAUCUUUCCUGCAAAACACAAAUAAAAGCAUCAAUUUUUAAGAAACAAAGAUCAAUUAGUAGAUAUUUUGAUACUUCUUUUGGGAUAUUUAAUGUACUUAUCACUAACCAUUCUGGGUAAUAGACUUCUCAGAUGAACCCUAUCUUUAGAAGCUUAUCCACCUCUUCUUGUAUGAUAUUUUGUUGCUCGAAAGCAAAACUAUGCUUCUUUUGU